GAUGAACGCUGGCGGCGUGCCUAAUACAUGCAAGUCGAGCGAACAGACGAGGAGCUUGCUCCUCUGACGUUAGCGGCGGACGGGUGAGUAACACGUGGAUAACCUACCUAUAAGACUGGGAUAACUUCGGGAAACCGGAGCUAAUACCGGAUAAUAUAUUUGAACCGCAUGGUUCAAUAGUGAAAGACGGUUUUGCUGUCACUUAUAGAUGGAUCCGCGCCGCAUUAGCUAGUUGGUAAGGUAACGGCUUACCAAGGCGACGAUGCGUAGCCGACCUGAGAGGGUGAUCGGCCACACUGGAACUGAGACACGGUCCAGACUCCUACGGGAGGCAGCAGUAGGGAAUCUUCCGCAAUGGGCGAAAGCCUGACGGAGCAACGCCGCGUGAGUGAUGAAGGUCUUCGGAUCGUAAAACUCUGUUAUUAGGGAAGAACAAAUGUGUAAGUAACUAUGCACGUCUUGACGGUACCUAAUCAGAAAGCCACGGCUAACUACGUG
rnacentral:rRNA from 1 species